CCUACGGGUGACAGCAGUGAGGAAUCUUGGUCAAUGGGCGCGAGCCUGAACCAGCCAAGUAGCGUGAAGGAUGACUGCCCUACGGGUUGUAAACUUCGUUUAUAAAGGAAUAAAGUCAUGCACGUGUGUCUUUAUGUAUGUACUUUAUGAAUAAGGAUCGGCUAACUCCGUGCCAGCAGCCGCGGUAAUACGGAGGGUCCGAGCGUUAUCCGGAUUUAUUGGGUUUAAAGGGAGCGUAGAUGGGUUGUUAAGUCAGUUGUGAAAGUUUGCGGCUCAACCGUAAAAGUGCAAUUGAUACUGGCAGUCUUGAGUACAGAUGAGGUAGGCGGAAUUCGUGGUGUAGCGGUGAAAUGCUUAGAUAUAACGAAGAACUCCGAUUGCGAAGGCAGCUCACUAAACUGCAACUGACAUUGAUGCUCGAAAGUGUGGGUAUCAAACAGGAUUAGAUACCCGGGUAGUC
rnacentral:rRNA from 1 species